rnacentral:rRNA from 1 species
CAGUCGCCGCGGUAAUACGGAGGGAGCUAGCGUUGUUCGGAAUUACUGGGCGUAAAGCGCACGUAGGCGGCUAUUCAAGUCAGGGGUGAAAGCCCGGGGCUCAACCCCGGAACUGCCUUUGAAACUAGAUAGCUUGAAUCUUGGAGAGGCGAGUGGAAUUCCGAGUGUAGAGGUGAAAUUCGUAGAUAUUCGGAAGAACACCAGUGGCGAAGGCGACUCGCUGGACAAGUAUUGACGCUGAGGUGCGAAAGCGUGGGGAGCAAACAGGAUUAGAGACCCGUGUAGUCCCUGUCUCUUAUAA